AUUAUUCUUGUAUCGAUGCUCCAUAAAAGGGUGUUCAUAGCCCUCAACUGAAGCGUGAAUAAUACAUCUAACCUCUUUCUGUGCGUUUCUUUUUUCUCUACUUUGUUCUGCUCUGUUCUGCCCCAUUGCAGUUUAUUCACAAUUCCACUAGAUCUUACAGUAAUCAGAGCGAUUUCGUAGUCAAUGUGAAGGGAAUCAUAGGGAACAUGAGUUAUCGGGCGGUUUCGAACAAUGGUUUCUGGAGAGGUUCUGUUGGCAGCGGGAAUUCGACGGUUUAUGCUAUAGGCCAGUGUUGGGAGACAUUGAAUAUGAGCUCCUGCAAGACUUGCUUGGACACAGCAGCUUCCAAAAUCGAUUCUUGCCUUCCUUCUUUCCAAGCAAGGGUUCUCAGCUCGGGUUGUUACUUGAGAUACGCCGAUUAUCAGUUCUAUGAUUCUUCAACCGCGUCUACAUCAUCUGGAGGUUGUUAUUCCAACCUUGGACUGGGAGAUGGGCACUUUUGGUCUGGCCCAUCAUGGAUGAGCCAGGAAUUCAAUCUGAUCUAUCAGUUUGGUUUCAUUAGAUUUGUGCUUGCAUUAUGAGUGGCUUGACCGAGGCAGAGAUGUGCAGGGUUAAUAUUAUUGAUUUCAUGUGAAACACCUGUUGUUUGUAGUGCCGUAUUCACGUAGCAGAAGGCAAAUUAAAAAGAGCUUAUGUGGGCAUUUUCACCAACAGCAAUUUUCUUAUCAUGUGAAAAAUUAUUGGGUUGGGGUUUUACAUCUGCUUCACUUAUUUUUUUUUCCCUUUGAUCUCUUUUGAACAUAUAUGACUAGACAGUUUCAUCCCAUAUAGGAAUUUCAAAUUAUGAUGAUUCAACAAAUUGAUUUUUUUUUUGGUUAUUUUUUUUCUUACCUUUUUGUUUCAAUGUGGAAUUCUCCUUAGUCUGCUUCUCCAUGCAAUUUAAUUGUUCAUAAAAGGAUGCUUGUGUUUAUGUCAAAUCAAUCAACUUGGUCAUCUGAGCAAGAUUAUCUUCUUGAAUUGCCCACCACUGUCAAGCUGUAACUGUUUUUCUCAUUCUCUUUUCAUGUGAAUGUGGUGACACUUGGGCUCUGUUCCAAACAUUGGGAAUCAUGUUUUAUGGCUUUUUUUUCUUCUUCGUCAUCCUUUGCUGGAUGUUAAUCACAUCUUCUAAGAUUUUGUAUUAGUAAUUUAGUUGAACAAAUAAAGGUAGUAAAAUAUACUGAAUUCAUUGAUUAAUUAGAAUUGUAAUUGUCAAUUUAUCAAUAACUCGAACUGGGCACUGAAAACAAGAACUGAAUCAACUGAUUAAUCUCCUGCAUUUGACUAUUCUCUGACCAAACGAAUGUAGCUAUUAAUCUGUUAAGCUUUUCCUGUCUAACUUUUUUCCUUUGCUGCUUUGUUUUUGCAGACACUAUAGUUCUGGAAAUUGGAAACUCCUUGAUCAAAUAUAUAAUGGCCUUCUCUUUAUCCUGCUGUGUUUGAUUUGUAGUAAAAAUGAGCGUUGUUGGUUUCGACCUUGGAAAGGAGAGUUGUAUUGUUGCUGUGGCACGGCGGCCAUGUUGGACAUGUAUCAGCUGCUUUGGAAGAACUAUGUUCGCAAUCUAUAAGGAGCGAUGGACCAACAAGAGCUCGAGCUACCACCACCACUAACACGGGGCAGCUGCUGCUCCAACCGUCAGGAAUGUUUUUUCCAAUUCAAGGGUAGGUGUUUGAGAGCAGCCCUGGCGGUUUACUCACUCUAUUAGAUGUAGUAGCGAUGCUCAGCCUGCAAUGUCCGAUAACAACACUGAAGUAGUUCAUCUAUCGGCAGGGGCGGAGGGAGGGGGGGGCCCGCCUAGGCCAUGGCCCCACCCUGAUCAAUGAAAAAAAAAAUUUUAUAUUGAAAAAAAUAUUAUUUUUUAAUCACUCUAUGUAUUUUUUAGAUUUAAAUUUAAUUUGGCCCUACCCGCAUCUAGAGGUUGGACUGUCCUGGCUCCGCCACUGUCUAUCGGCACUACAACAGUGGCAUACCACUUUGGACCUAACGGGCAACAAUUCCAUUCAGAAGGACCUUCAAGAUCAGAUUGUGAUAUAGCUACACCUAAUUCCAGACCGGUUCCAGAACGAACAAGAUAUCAGUUGAAAAGGGGGAGUUAGCAAAGUUGGACAAGAUUGGAAUGGGCAUAAGAACAGUACUGAUGUACCAUCACUCACGCUUGCUUUUGACCGGUCUUGACUUUGCUUUUGAAAGGUCAAGACUAAUGAGAAUUGUAUGUCAUUAGUACUCACUAUACCUGAAAAUCACAUGCUUGCACUAUAUCUAACUCGAUAAACCAGCUUCUGAGAUAGGUCAGGAUUCAUGGCAAUGAGAUGCUAUUAGUGUUGACCAUACCACAAAUUGUAUACCAUUAACCAUGAAAAUGAGAGCGGAUCUCCAUAUCACCAAAGGAGAGCGAAAGGCGAGCAAUGAAAUGAGAAAGGUUCACAAACGAAAGUGCUUAGUGCCCGCGUGCUUAUGAUAGGUUGAGGCUUGUCUCUCCUCCUUUACAGGUUGAUUCUAGUUCGUCCAAUAGGUUCCUUGAUGUUCUUUCUUCUUCAGGGGAGGUCUUGAUGAAGUUUUCAAGUUGUUGUGUGAUCGUGUACUUUUCGUCGAGCAGCUCAUUGGAAUGUGAUCAAACGUUCUGAUCCAAGAACCGCUGAAGGCAAGCAAACAGACUAAUAUGAAUAUUUGGUACUAAUGAAACAUUAUAGACAUUAUUGCUUUAAUUUAAUAUCAUUUUUAAAGGCUAUGAAAAUAACAAUGUAUUACUAUUGUCAAACGGCCCAUAAUAUCUUAUGAUUGAAUAAAGGAAGGGUGUCUAGAUGGUGGGUCUUA